rnacentral:rRNA from 1 species
AGUUCCAACAAGAUGUCUUUAGUAACGUAUGUUCCAUAACGCUCGACAUAGUCAUGUAGUCGGGUGAAUCCAAGCGCUUUGAGUGCACCAUUUGUAGCUUUACUCACAUCGCAAAGAGGAGUCUUGCCUUUCCCAAACGUAAAGUUAAAAUUGUUCCAGUAUGGCAUCACAUGAACGAAAGGUUUCCAUCGUGUAGUUCCGUGAGAAGCGUGUAGUUUUGCCCAUAGGCGGAGUGUUUUUUUCCAAAAAGAGGGAAGAUUGGCCAACCGAACACCUCGCAUAUUAGCGUAAAGAAUAUCAAAACCAUGUCCCAUAGACCCAAGCGCCGCAGAGAAGAUAUCUAAUGCAGGUGAGAGCCAUCGAGGUGUAGUACUGUGAUUGUAGGUUGCUGCGAUACCAUCUCGAAGACACUUAAGGUGCAUAGCCUGGAUAAACUCCUUAAUAGGGGUUAAGCCUAACCCACCUUCGGAAAUAGACAUGUAGAUCCAGCGCUUAUCAAACUUUCCAGCAACAGCUGUGGCUCCAGUAGUGUCGUGGGCGUUGACAAAAUUCCGUAUAAUGAUGUCGACCAACUUUAAGGUCGACUGAGGAACAUCGGUGACACACGCUGUGUACCAGAGUAAAGGUAAUAUAAUCCGUUGCAACAAAACCACCCUUCCCCGUAAGGUACGCGCACGAUAUCUCCAUAUAGCACACCGGGCACGUAAUUUUGCGAUGACUGCGUUGAGACGUUCAGGAGCUGUAAUAGUGGCACCUUGUAGCACUCCAAGAAGCUUAGUAGAUUCUGAUACGUGAAGCACAUGUAAAACAGUUGAGGUCCGCAAAUGAUCCAAUUUGGUCUGAGAUACCGAAUUCGUAAAAGGCAUUAUGCAUGUUUUCGUCUUGUUGAGCCGUAAACCGGCCGCAUCGGCGUAUUCUUUAACAAGGCGGAGGAAUGCAUCAGCAUCGUUCACGUCGGCGAGCAUACCCGUGCAAUCAUCAGCGAAAGCCAUGACUAAGUGAGGAAGCUUAGUAUUGGCAACUGCUAGUCCGUGAGAAGAAAAUUUUGCUCGUAGAAAGUUAAACAUUGGUUCUAUGAAGACGACAAAUAGCCCAGGAGACAAGGGGUCUCCUUGACGGACUCCAGCUCCAAGCAGAAAUGGAAUACCCGGAGAUCGGUUCAGAAGAAUGCUCACUGAUGUUUCUGUGUAGAAUGUUUUGAUCCACGCCCUGAACGUGGAUCCGAAUCCAAAGUGAUGCAGGACAAUAUCCAGAGCAGGCCAUAAAACGCUAUCAAAUGCCUUAGCGAAAUCGACAAGGACGGCGCAUGCAUCUGGGUAUCGGGCUCUGCAAAUGUCUUGUAAGUCUUGAAAUUGCAAAAGUAAAUGUCGGAUAGAUCGUCCAAGAACAAAUCCUUUUUGAUCUUCGUGAAUAAUUGAGGGGAGAAUUGUCGGGGAGUUUGGCUGGGGCGGCACAUCAGUUAAAUGAUAACACAGGUGUCCUAAGGUGAGCUCAAUGAGAACAGAAAUCUCAUGUAGAACAAAAGGGUAAAAGCUCACUUGAUUUUGAUUUUCAGUAUGAAUACAAACCGUGAAAGCGUGGUCUAUCGAUCCUUUAGUACUUUCGAAUUUUAAGCUAGAGGUGUCAGAAAAGUUACCACAGGGAUAACUGGCUUGUGGCAGCCAAGCGUCCAUAGCGACGUUGCUUUUUGAUUCUUCGAUGUCGGCUCUUCCUAUCAUUGCGAAAUAGAACUCGCCAAUUGUUGGAUUGUUCACCCACUAAUAGGAAACGUGAGCUGGGUUUAGACCGUCGUGAGACAGGUUAGUUUUACCCUACUGAUGAGUUCGUUGUCUAAACAGUAAUCCAACCCAGUACGAGAGGAACCGUUGGUUCAGAUAAUUGGUAACUGCGGUUAGCUGAAAAGCUAGUGCCGCCAAGCUGCCAUCUGUCGGAUUAUGGCUGAACGCCUCUAAGUCAG